AGCCUCCAACCUGUGGUAGAUGCGGGGAGAGGCUGACCGUACUCCACGUCCUCCUGGAGUGUCGGGAAGCCGAAUCUGAGAGAAAUAGACAUUUUUCAUUAGCAUACCGGCAGCACAUUCCCCUUCACCCAUUAAUGUUACUCGGCCCAGAACCGCUAUUUGACACCAAUGCAGUCUUAAGUUAUCUGAAAGAUGUUGUAUUGCAUGUUGUUAGCCCCACAUGUUCGUAGCGUCUCCUCUCUUCAGAGGAUGGCGCUGUGAUAGUUCUUUCGUAUAGCACGUGCCUCUAGGCCCUUGUGUUUCAAGGGCUCCGGCGAGGCAACAGUGCUCCAGCUAUUUUUACCAUCUCAUAUAUUUUCAAUUCUAUGUCAUUCUUUUACGAUGGAUUUUAAUGUUCAUAGUAUUCGUCAUUAGUCAUCGCCAUAAUUUUAUAUCACGUAGAUUUUAUGCACUUUACAGCAACUAUUUUUAGGCCACUUUACAGCCAAGUCACAUUUCCAUAAUACAUCGUCAACAUCACCACUUGUCAUGGCGCUCUUUGGCCACACCUGGCCCUUGCGCCAUUAAACACCACAUAUCAUCAUAUGCAUUUAUAUGUUCAUAGUACAAGUCAUACGUCAUAGCCAUAAUUUUAUUACACAUAUUUUACACACUUUAGAGCGUAUAUUUUAAGGCCCCUUUACAGCCACGUCCCACCAAUUUCAUAGUAAUCAUAGUCACAUUGCACACCCACUACCACAGACAUGGCGCUCUUUGGCCACACCUGGCCCUUGUGCCAUAAAACCCCAUACAUCAUCAUCAUCAUCGAAACUCACUAUUCAGGAUUGUUGUGUAUUUGUUUCUCUUCGCAUAUCAGGGGACUAACAACACUUACCACCAGCCUAUAGGAAUGAAGACAAAUGCAAGUGGAGAUUUUCUAAUGAUUAGGCUGCGAGGGAGCAGGAGCUACUAUGCCGAAUUACCAAAUUUUGCCACUGUAGUACUAUUGAACUAGCUAAGUGACAUAUCUCGAAAACUUAUUUUACAAAUGAGUUGGUUUUUUUAUAACAAAAGUGAUUAAGGCCUGUUUUGAGAUUGCUUGGUUAAAACUCGUUGCCUAAAAAUAUAAGCGGAUCAAAGUUUUUAUUUCUAGCGGUAGAAGCAUUUCCUGCCACUAUGUAGAUGAGCUGUCAUUUGCUUAUUGCAGUGGUUCUUGCAUUUUCAAAACAUGCGCUGCAUUUCUUUCUUGUUGAAAUUCAUUAUUGUUAUACAAUAAUUUCAUGUUGCUGUGGUCACUGCCUUUCCUUAAUUGCAGGGAGCUUUUGCCCAUCUCCUGUCACUCGGUAUGCUUCUACCUCACGAGAUCCAGUUCCUUGUAGCCAAGGUUGGCUAUUUCUCUCUGAAAGGUGGCAGCGAUGCAAAAGACGGAGUUCGCAGGGUGCUCCGACAAAUCGUCUCCAAGGCAGUUACACUGCAGUGUAGCUGGGCCGGCUCCUCAGGGAAAAUAUUUCCAUUCAAAAGCCUCACAAAUGUGCUGCAUCUUCUGCUUGGUGCAACACGUGCCCUCUUCGGCACGAUUGAUGCAGCUGUUGCAGACACCACCAAAAGGUGGCUGAUUUUUGCUGCGGACCAGGAGGGAGGCCGGACACACAGACGGCGCGUCGCCUUGUUGAGGCAAUGCGACACAAGCCAAGACACCACCUCAUAAUCUCUAGAGUUUGAUGUAGCCUCUUCUUUUAAAACAGUUCUGCUACAUGUUAUUCCACAUAUCAGGGGUGUAAAGCUUUCCCAGCGUGGCGCACAGCGUCUACAAUGCACAAGCAACUUCAGUGCCUUUGCUUGCAACGAUGUCCCGGUAGCACUCCCUGGCAAACAGUAUUGCAAAUUUUGCCAGAACUGGAUGGACUUGAAACCUAUCCUUCAAGUUGAUAACAAGUUUAUCAACAAAAGCUUCUCUGGUUCCCUGCAUUCAAACUUCAAAUUCUGAUGUGACUGACAAUGUAAUAUCAUUGCUGGCACAGAAUUCUUUAAGGUUUGUCUUGAGGUGUUUCUGUGCCUCCAGCAUGGUUAUUGUAGAUGUUAUCACGUCUUGCAAGAGAUCAACAUGCCGCGACCUUGCUUGGAGGGCUUUGAUAGCCUCUCAGUCAAUGAGACAUCGCACAUCAUCAAAAGUGUGCCUACAAAUCUGCCACUUAAGUUAAGCUUUAGCAGCCCAGCUGCCUUAUUUUCACCCCUGUCAUCUGCUUCUCGUGAGAGACUUGCUGUGAUGGCUUGCAGAUUAUUUUGGACAGCAGCACACGACCCUCCAACACUAAGCCAGCGUGUGGCAGAUGGCUCAGUAAUCUUUGAGCCCACUGAUUGACUGAUGUGUUCAAAUGUGCCUUUUUAAAAUGAUGUAACAGCUUAUUCGUUCACGUAAUUGCAUUCACCCUUUUUUUUUUGUGUGUGACAUUUCAUUUUUAGACAGCUGAAUGAUGUAAUGUGGUUCGGCCACCUAAAAGAGAGCAUUAGCUGUGCCUUCUGUGUCCCGUGGCUCGAUAUGUGCAAUAACUUUUGUGAUAUCGUUUACUGCAGUCGCUGUUAAGCAACUUGAUAUAUUGACUGAUGUGUUCAAAUAUGCGUUUUUAAAAUGCUGUAACAGUUUAUUUGUUCACAUAAUUGUGUUCCACCCUUUCCUUUUUUGUGAUAUUUCAUUUUUGGACAGCCGAAUGAUGUGUGGUUCGACCAUCUGUGUCCCUUGUUAGCUUGAUAUGUGCAGUCAUUUACUGUAGUUUACUGCUGUCCCUGUUAAGGAACUGGAUAUAUUGACUAUUCACUGGUGUGUUCAAUUCUGCCUUUUUAAAAAAUUAUGUGACAGUUCAUUUGUUCACAUAGUUGUGUAUUCUAUGCUUUCUUUGUGUUUAGACAUGUUCCAUCUUAUGCUACUGUAUUCUUCAGUGCAAAAUAAAAAUGAAACCGAAAA